UACGAAGGUCCCAAGCGUUAUCCGGAAUUAUUGGGCGUAAAGCGCAUGUAGGCGGUUUGUUAAGUCUGGUGUGAAAGCUCAAGGCCUAACCUUGAAAUUGCAUUGGAAACUGGCAAACUAGAAUACUGGAGGGGUAAGUGGAAUUCCAUGUGUAGCGGUGGAAUGCGUAGAUAUCGGGAGGAACACCAGUGGCGAAGGCGGCUACCUGGACCGGUUCUGACACUGAGGAGCGAAAGCGUGGGGAGCGAUCCGG
rnacentral:rRNA from 1 species